AUGCCUUAAAUUUAUGAUUAAGGGAAAUAAUCUUUUGGGGUGAUGCCUGAAUCCUCACUGCUAAUGUGAGAUGAAUUUUUGUGUGGUUAAAGUUUGCUCAUAGGGCGAUCUGCCUGCUUUGUGGGAUGCCAAAAGGAGCAAUUUACCUA